UACCAGCUUGACCUUUGGCUGUCUUGGGGGAGAUGGUCUGUGGGACCACCCCAAAAAACACCCUGGGCUAUGAACUAUAAAGGGCAAAGAUGCACGGUCCUCUUCUUUUGUAAAUUCACGUGACUGAAUAAAAAGUAAAUAAUAACAUUGACGCUCCCUUUCUAUCAACUCUCGCCCCAGUUCUCACCCCUGCCUUUAAGAACCCACUUUCCUUACUCCUGGGAAGAAAGAAAGCAGCUCUUUCUGCUGAUUGCAAAUGAUCCUAGUGAUAACCCUGAGUUCUAGUUACACAAACGAAAGGGAAUCUUGUGAUCAGACCCAGAUUCGCUGUGUCACUCGUAUCCACCUGUAUACAGUUAAAACCUCUCACCGAACUAGAGAUCCAUUUGUACAUGUAGCAGUCGUCUGAGCACAGUGUAACCUUGGAUACCAAGAAACCCAACUUUCUCAGUCUCGUUGCUAAGGCAACAGGACAGAGUGGGUGUGGGGGAGCCCAGCAUGUCUAUCUACAUGCUGUGCUACCAGCAGGCGGAAUGGGAUGGAGGGCUGGGGAGGGUCUUGGGCUGCCCACCUCUCCGAGGCCUUAACUGCAAAGGCCGCAGGGAUAGUGUAAUGUCCUCUGUCACUGAUAGCCGGGGAACCUCUACAGCCCAGUGCCCUUGCUCUCCUUCAGGACGCGGAGGGAGAAGAGGGUCCCUGAUGCCAUCUGGACCGUCGUGGAGAAUCAACUCUCAGGUGCCUUCCAUCCAGGCAGUGCCUCCAGGGCCAGGCCUUCACGACCCCGAACCACCUGCACCCACCCUAUUCAGGCUACAAGCUCUGUGUGCACAGGGUGUGCACUAGGCACUCAGGAAAUGCCCACUGAAUGAAUGAGUCUGAUCAACUCUGGAGGCAGUAGCAGAAGCACCGGCACAGCAGAGUCUGGUGGAGGACAGCCACAGCUGUGUACAAUCCUGUCCGUCAAUUCUUUUGGUAUUUACCUCUACACCUCUGCAAAAUAUUCUUAUACUACCAUUUCCUGCAAGUUUUUCUCAGUGUUACGCAUCAUCCAAGGACUUCCCACCGUGGCAAGUAAGAAUUUAGCUCGCUUUCAGUGCUCUUCCCACCUCCUUGGCCCCAUCCUGCCUCGACUUCACAUCCCUGCAUCCUCCCAAUUAAGUUAUAUUUGUAGUUAUAAUUGUGGUUAGAUCCAUAUCUACAUUAUUAUCGCUGUGUAAAUGCUAUUACAGCAUGCUCUGUGAUACUUAGAGG